rnacentral:rRNA from 1 species
UACGUAGGUGGCAAGCGUUAUCCGGAAUUAUUGGGCGUAAAGAGCGCGCAGGUGGUUGAUUAAGUCUGAUGUGAAAGCCCACGGCUUAACCGUGGAGGGUCAUUGGAAACUGGUCGACUUGAGUGCAGAAGAGGGAAGUGGAAUUCCAUGUGUAGCGGUGAAAUGCGUAGAGAUCGGGAGGAAUACCAGUGGCGAAGGCGGCCUUCUGGACUGUCACUGACGCUGAGGUGCGAAAGCGUGGGUAGGCAAACAGGAUUAGAUA